GAAAUAUAUGACAAUUAAGCUGCUAACUUAAUUUUUAGUGAAUAAAAUCAUUAAUAUUUCU
rnacentral:tRNA from 1 species